CGGGUCGUAAAGCUCUGUGGGGAGGGACGAACAAGUGCGUAUUAAAUAAAUACGUGCCCUGACGGUACCUCCUUAGCAAGCACCGGCUAACCAUGUGC
rnacentral:rRNA from 1 species